UAGAUACUUGUGUUUAAUUCCAAUUUCUUAAACAUCAUUGGACAUAAUGUCAAUUGGCAUUUAAGGUGAGAUACUAAAAGGAUUUUCCCAAGAGACAUUGAUAUAUUCUAAAUUUACAAUAUGUUUGCAAUUAUAUGAAAGAUAGUUAUAUCAUGUUAGACAUAUUUAUGAGCUGCUUAUUGUUUUCAUUUGAACAUGAAAUAUGAUUUACAUCAAGUUGACAAGGGAUGGAUUGUGAUGACUAUUCUUGGUUGUCAGUUUGACUACAUCUGGAAUGAACUACAAUCCAGAAAUGAAGGGCACACCUGUGAUCCAGAUCUUGAAGCUGAUCUUGAGGUUUCUGAUCUUGAUCUUGACAUGAGAUCUUGAGGCAUAGUGACCAUGAACAUCUUAAGGCCAGCCAAGGUAGUGAGACUGAGACAAGCAGAUCCUUGAGUUUAAGGUCAGCCUGGGAAAAAGCACGUUUCAGAUCCAGGCGUGGUGAUAUAUACCUUUAAUCUGGGCUACACCUUCUGCUGGAGGCCUAUAAGGACACUGGAAAAGCAAGAUUCACUCUUCUUUGACUGCUUGCCCUUACUUCUUAGCAUGUCUGUUGGAACCUACUUCUGCACAAGACUAACUUAAGCAACUAACUUUGUGGGACUGAGCAACUACUAGAUUCUUGGACUUCCAGUCCACACUGCCCAUUGUUUAGAUAGUUGAACAACAGACUGUAAGUCACAAUAAAUUCCUGUAAUUUAUAGAGACAUUAAAUAAGUUCUGUAACUCUAGAGAACCAUUACUAAUAUAGAAAUUGCAAAUAAAUUUAUUUUCUUGGUGUCCUGU
rnacentral:lncRNA from 1 species